rnacentral:snRNA from 1 species
GCAUGGGUGAUUUUGAUAUUAUAUUUAUCAGUGCUGAUCACCUGGAUUGCUUUGGCUGAUCUGGCUGGCUUGAGGGAUUUUCCAUUCUUCCCUCAUUGUUUCGUAUGUUUCCUUUCCAAAUCUUUCCCUCUGUCCAAGAGAACAAUGUUUUCUACUAGCAGAAGUGGGAAAGUAACAAAGCAG